rnacentral:rRNA from 1 species
CCUACGGGGUGCAGCAGUGAGGAAUAUUGGUCAAUGGGCGCGAGCCUGAACCAGCCAAGUAGCGUGAAGGAUGAAUGCCCUACGGGUUGUAAACUUCUUUUAUAAAGGAAUAAGGUGAGGCACGUGUGCCUUUUUGUAUGUACUUUAUGAAUAAGGAUCGGCUAACUCCGUGCCAGCAGCCCCGGUAAUACGGAUGAUCCGAGCGUUAUCCGGAUUUAUUGGGUUUAAAGGGAGCGUAGAUGGGUUGUUAAGUCAGUUGUGAAAGUUUGCGGCUCAACGGUAAAAUUGCAAUUGAUACUGGCAGCCUUGAGUACGUUUGAGGUAGGCGGAAUUCGUGGUGUAGCGGUGAAAUGCUUAGAUAUCACGAAGAACUCCGAUUGCGAAGGCAGCCUACUAACCUGCCACUGACAUUGAUGCUCGAAAGUGUGGGUAUCAAACAGGAUUAGAUACCCCUGUAGUC